CCUACGGGUGGCUGCAGUAGGGAAUAUUGCUCAAUGGGGGAAACCCUGAAGCAGCAACGCCGCGUGGAGGAUGAAGGUUUUCGGAUUGUAAACUCCUUUUGUUAGAGAAGAUAAUGACGGUAUCUCAAGAAUAAGCACCGGCUAACUACGGGCCAGCAGCCGCGGUACUACGGAGGGUGCAAGCGUUACUCGGAAUCACUGGGCGUAAAGAGCGUGUAGGCGGGAUAGCAAGUCAGAGGUGAAAUCCUAUGGCGUAACCAUAGAACUGCAUUUGAAACUGUUAUUCUAGAGUAUGGGGGAGGUAGGAGGAAUUCGUGGUGUAGCGGUGAAAUGCGUAGAGAUCAAGAAGAAUACUGAUUGCGAAGGCGACCUGCUAGAACGUAACUGACGCUGAUGCGCGAAAGCGUGGGGAGCAAACAGGAUUAGAUACCCGAGUAGUC
rnacentral:rRNA from 1 species